rnacentral:rRNA from 1 species
CCUACGGGGGGCAGCAGUGAGGAAUAUUGGUCAAUGGACGAGAGUCUGAACCAGCCAAGUAGCGUGAAGGAUGACUGCCCUAUGGGUUGUAAACUUCUUUUAUAUGGGAAUAAAACAGGGUAUGUAUACCCUCUUGUAUGUACCAUAUGAAUAAGGAUCGGCUAACUCCGUGCCAGCAGCCGCGGUAAUACGUAGGAUCCAAGCGUUAUCCGGAUUUCUUGGGUUUAAAGGGAGCGUAGGCGGAUUGUUAAGUCAGUUGUGAAAGUCUGGGGCUCAACCGUAAAAUUGCAUUUGAAACUGGAAGUCUUGAGUGCAGGAGAGGUGAGUGGAAUUCGUGGUGUAGCGGUGAAAUGCGUAGAUAUUACGAGGAACACCAGUUGCGAAGGCGGCUCACUGGACUGCAACUGACGCUGAGGCUCGAAAGUGUGGGGAGCAAACAGGAUUAGAUACCCGUGUAGUC